ACCUGCCCUAUGAAUAAUUUACUUUUAAAUGGCUGCGGUAUUUUGACCGUGCAAAGGUAGCAUAAUAAUUAGUUUCUUAAUUGGGAACUGGAAUGAAUGGUCGAACGAGAAAAAGACUGUCUCAGUUUAAUUUAAAUUAGAAUUUUAUUUUUAAGUAAGAAAGCUUAAAUAAGUUUAAAAGACGAGAAGACCCUAUAGAGUUUUAUAUUAAUUUAUUAUAAUUGAAAGUUAAAGUAUUUUAGAUUUGAUUAUGGUUAUUAAUAUUUAAUUGGGGCGAUUGAAAAAUUUAAUAAACUUUUUUUAGAUAAAACCAUUAAUUUAUGAAUAAGUGAUCCAUAAUUUAUGAUUAAAAGAUU
rnacentral:rRNA from 1 species